UACGUAGGCAGCAAGCGUUGUUCGGAAUUACUGGGCGUAAAGGGUGUGUAGGCGGUUUGGCAAGUCUGGUGUGAAAUCUCCCGGCUUAACUGGGAGGGUGCGCUAGAAACUGCCAAGCUAGAGUGUGGGAGAGGAAAGUGGAAUUCCUGGUGUAGCGGUGAAAUGCGUAGAUAUCAGGAGGAACACCUGCGGUGUAGACGGCUUUCUGGACCACUACUGACGCUGAAACACGAAAGCGUGGGGAGCAAACAGG
rnacentral:rRNA from 1 species